GCUUGCAGAAGGAAAACUAUCUGUGCAUCAACAUUCAUGGCUCUGUUUCCCAGCUGUGGUUGCAAUGUGACCUGAGCCAGGCUCCUGCCACCUAUGUCCUCUCCACAGUGGCCUGGACUCUUGAUUUCCAGAGGCUGAACUGGCCCAUCUUCUGAUGGCAACUUCCAGCGGUGGGACUGGUACACCAACCCAGUCACAAAAACUUUGAUCUACAAUCUGUCCUGCUGCAGGAUGUGCAUGGACAAUGGGAAAAGGUUCCCCUUCAGAACACAAAGGUGGUUUGUCUGCUGGCAGAGGAGAAGUUGAGAAGAAAAUCUGUGAAGUUUCAGUUCAUACAGGAAAACAAGAGACACAGAAACCUUUUGCUUACCAAGACCAAGUAGAUGAAGCAAGAAAGUUGGAGGAGUGAUGAUCAGAAGAGGCCCC